GCGAAGGAAAUGGGCCAGUUUAAUGCACCGACAGGUGUGUGCAGUAGAUGCCAAUGGCAUUAUUAUAGUGGCUGACUGGGGCAACAGCCGGAUACAGGUGUUUGACAGCAGUGGAUCCUUCCUGUCCUACAUCAACACCUCCGCAGACCCUCUGUAUGGCCCACAAGGACUGGCUCUGACAUCAGAUGGCCACAUUGUGGUGGCAGACUCUGGGAACCAUUGUUUUAAAGUGUACCGUUAUCUACAAUAGCACUCUCCUCUCUAAAAAUAAAUACUUGCACUUAUUCCUUAAAAGCUGCCGCCCCCUUGUGCCAAAUGGGACCCUCAUAUUGCAAGUUGUGUUGUUGUGGGCUUCAUUCGUGACACCCUCACCUUGGACAGAAGAACAAACUCUGUACCCUGAUCGUGGUUCUUUGGUUCUUCACCUUUGACUCAAAAACUGCUACACAUUAGGGAAAACAUUCAUGUUUCUACUGUAUGUUGAAAAAUCUGAAUGUUCAGAUGAUUAAAAAGGGAACUCUUCGAAGCACUAGCAUGUAUAAUAAGAAUGCAAGUCAUGCGAUUCCAAACUACUAUACUAAUAUAUCUGCACAACAAAUAGACACAACCCCCAAAACAAAUCUCACUAUGGUGGGGCUAGUAUCAAUAAUAUUUUUUUUGGCCCGAGUUAGCCUAUGUUUAAAAAGUGAUGUCAGGAAUAUUUCAUAAAAUAUGCAACAUGCUGCUUUGCUAUUGACUGUGAUGUGCACAACUGUGGUUAGUACAAUGUUCUUAUAAUGCAAUUAGGUCUCUUGAAUCACCCAUAUUAUGCAAGAAGCAUCACUUGAUAUGCUUUUUAGACUGUAAACAAAAUUUCCUUUUUUUACUAUCACUGCACUGUUCAUUUAAACAUCAGCCGUGCUCAUUUCUCUAAACCAUAAAAGUUCAUGUGUUGUUCAGAGAAACAAUAUCUCAUGCUCAAAUCACCAGAUGCACUUUGUGAUUUAGCAACACAAAAAAUAUGUAUAGUGCUGUUAUUAAUAAUAGCCCCGUUUACUAGAAAAGGUUUACUAGAAGACAUGCAUUAUUAUAAUUACUGAUCUUUAUGUGUUCUGAGAGUGGAUGUGUUGUGCUGACAAACCAUGUUCCGUGUUCAUAUUCAUAAUGCCUAAAAAAAAAAAAAAAAAAAAACGAAAAAGUGCCCAGGGUUCUUUUCAAGUGUAUUUAUGCCACACAGAUAAAUCUUCCUUGUUCUAUGUCUGUUCUCCUGUACAGUUCGAUUGUCAUACACAGGGAACUAUUGCUGCUUGUUUGCACAAAAUACACAAUAUAAAAACAAUGUACAUUCCAAAAUGUAUUUCUCCCUUUAUAAUCAGGACACCUGCUUUUUUGUAGCAUUAAAGCUUGCAUUUUACUCCUUUGUUGUUUUACCACAUUAAAGGACAUGCAACCAAUGACGCUUUUACAUUUCUAGAUCUUAAUGCCACAUUCAGGCAACCUAAGUUAUAUCAUGUUUUGCACAACACAUAAAUAAACUGCAUUAUUUGA